AUAAAACCAGCCAGUUAGUAGAUAAAACCAGCCAGUUAGUAGAUAAAACCAGCCAGUUAGCUGGUAGUAGAUAAAACCAGCCAGUUAGCUGGUAGUAGAUCAAACCAGCCAGUUAGCUGGUAGUAGAUCAAACCAGCCAGUUAGCUGGUAGUAGAUCAAACCAGCCAGUUAGCUGUUAGUAGAUCAAACCAGCCAGUUAGUAGAUCAAACCAGCCAGUUAGUAGAUCAAACCAGCCAGUUAGUAGAUCAAACCAGCCAGUUAGUAGAUCAAACCAGCCAGUUAGCUGGUAGUAGAUAAAACCAGCCAGUUAGUAGAUAAAACCAGCCAGUUAGCUGGUAGUAGAUCAAACCAGCCAGUUAGCUGGUAGUAGAUAAAACCAGCCAGUUAGCUGGUAGUAGAUCAAACCAGCCAGUUAGCUGGUAGUAGAUCAAACCAGCCAGUUAGCUGGUAGUAGAUCAAACCAGCCAGUUAGCUGUUAGUAGAUAAAACCAGCCAGUUAGCUGGUAGUAGAUCAAACCAGCCAGUUAGCUGGUAGUAGAUAAAACCAGCCAGUUAGCUGGUAGUAGAUAAAACCAGCCAGUUAGCUGGUAGUAGAUAAAACCAGCCAGUAAGCUGGUAGUAGAUAAAACCAGCCAGUUAGUAGAUAAAACCAGCCAGUUAGCUGGUAGUAGAUAGAUGUGUCAGGUGUGUGUCAGGUGUGUG